AAGAUUCGACGCUAAAAAAAGACAUGCAGAAUUACUAAAGACUGUCCACAAUGAGCUAUUGAGUGUGAUGAAAAAAGAAGAAAACACAGAUGAAACUGGAGAGAGAAGAACUCUGCUAAAUUAAGUAGACUAAAGGUACUGGCAGACAAAGCAAAAGAAUUGGUGAAAAGGAUGUGUUUCCAGUGGUUUUAAAAAAAGAAAAAUGUCAGACAAUUUUAUUUCAUUGAAGAU